GCCCCUGUACUCCGACUGCGUAGGCGCUCACUUAGGAGCCCCGGAGCCUCGCGGUUGGUGAAGCAGCUUCCCCGGUGAACGCAGGUAUCUCCUCUUUUUCUCCGAACCGUGUCUUUUGGGAGGCAACCCACAGUCUUGACUGAAGCGGAAAAACCAUGAUGGAAAUGAGCCAAUAUGGAUGGGCCAUUGCCUCUUGCCAGUGGCUUAGACCCAGGCUUGUGACUCAAUUAAGAUCAAAGAAAUGUGACAAGAAUUCUUCUGAGGGGCUUCACCAAGUGCUUUUCUUUGCUGAUCGAAAAAAACCAAAUAGGAAUAAAAAACUCCGUGCUGCUGCAGGAUGUUCUCUGAUCUAUCUGGGCUGCCUGGAACUCUGCAACCAUCGUGGAAUCAUGAAAAGAAGGAGCGGGAGGAUAAGCCAAUGUGCUGAAGAGGUCAGAGCUGAAAAUGGAAGGAACUAGGUCCUUUAUAUAGGAAACUGGAUUCCCACUGUCUGCUGAGCAACGUGUACCGGUAUGCAUGGCUGCCUGCCAGGAGAAUUCUGAAGGGUCUUCAGGUCAGCCUGAUACUGAUCUCACUUUUGUUUUGAUAACCAGAUUUUAAUAACCCUUAAAAACUUGUUGAAUGGAUGUGAUGGUUAGCCUUAUGUAUCAACUUAGCCAGCCUACAGUACUCAGUUGUUUAAUCCAACAUUUAUCUAGGUGUUGCUGUAAAAGUAUUUUGUACAUGGAGCUAAUAUUUAUAAUCAGUUGACUUUAAUUAGAUUAUCCUCAAUCAACUCCCUAAAAUCAAUCUCUCUUUCUCUCUCUCUCCAUGUAUUUAUAUAUAAUGUAUUGGUUGUUUCUCUGGACAACCCUCACUAAUAGAAAAUACAUAAGUAAGUAAUAAAGAUCUAUAAUAAAUCAUAGGAUAGGUAGCUUUAAUCUAAGGUUAAAAAGGAAAUCUUUGGGAUCACGCAUCUGUAAGAAUGAAAGCACUGUGGGGACUGCAAGUGAAACAGGUGAAGGGGGCCAAAAGGUAUAAACUUCGAUUUAUAAAAUGCAUAUGUAUGACCAGGACAUUAUGCUGUCCACCAGAAACUGACAUGGUAAACUGACUAUACUUCAAUUAAAAAAAAAGCAUCAGGAAACUCUCAGACUCCACUUAGAGAACCACUAAUUUGGUGCUCGUACUUGACCACAAAUGGAAUGUUUUAAUCCAUUUACCUGAAAGCACUUCAGAAUUAUCCUCAACAGUUUCAUAUUAAAAAAUUAGGCAAAUUCUGCGACGUGGAGCAGCUCAUCCCAACUCAGUUCAACGGCUAUGUGGUUCUUUGUACUGCGUGGUCUGCUCCAGUUUGUACAGACAUCUCUUAGGCCUGUUCUCAACCUCUUGCCCCUUUCCAGUAAGUCCCUUAGCUCCAGCUCCUCCCUCUUUCCCCUAACCCUCUUUCCCAGUAUCUUUUGGAUAUUUCAAUUUAGAUAUCUUCCUAUCAGACAUUCAACAGGCCUAAUG